rnacentral:rRNA from 1 species
UACGGGGGGGGCAAGCGUUGUUCGGAAUUACUGGGCGUAAAGGGCUCGUAGGUGGCCAACUAAGUCAGACGUGAAAUCCCUCGGCUUAACCGGGGAACUGCGUCUGAUACUGGGUGGCUUGAGUUCGGGAGAGGGAUGCGGAAUUCCAGGUGUAGCGGUGAAAUGCGUAGAUAUCUGGAGGAACACCGGUGGCGAAGGCGGCAUCCUGGACCGAUACUGACGCUGAGGAGCGAAAGCCAGGGGAGCAAACGGG